rnacentral:rRNA from 1 species
GACGAACGCUGGCGGCGUGCUUAACACAUGCAAGUCGAACGGUAACAGGCCCUUCGGGUGCUGACGAGUGGCGGACGGGUGAGUAACGCUUAGGAAUCUACCUAGUAGUGGGGGAGUAACCCGGGAAACGUCGGGCUAAUACCGCAUACGCCCUACCGGGGAAAGGGACGGGGACGGUUUCGGUCCGUCGCGCUAUUAGUAUGAGCCUAACG